rnacentral:rRNA from 1 species
ACUGCGAAUGGCUCAUUAAAUCAGUUAUCGUUUAUUUGAUAGUACCCUACUACAUGGAUACCUGUGGUAAUUCUAGAGCUAAUACAUGCGCAAAACCCCGACUUCGGAAGGGGUGUAUUUAUUAGAUAAAAAACCAAUGCCCCUCGGGGCUCCUUGGUGAUUCAUAAUAACUUCACGAAUCGCAUGGCCUUGCGCCGGCGAUGGUUCAUUCAAAUUUCUGCCCUAUCAACUUUCGAUGGUAGGAUAGUGGCCUACCAUGGUGGCAACGGGUAACGGGGAAUUAGGGUUCGAUUCCGGAGAGGGAGCCUGAGAAACGGCUACCACAUCCAAGGAAGGCAGCAGGCGCGCAAAUUACCCAAUCCCGAUACGGGGAGGUAGUGACAAUAAAUACUGAUACAGGGCUCUUUUGGGUCUUGUAAUUGGAAUGAGAACAAUUUAAAUCCCUUAACGAGGAACAAUUGGAGGGCAAGUCUGGUGCCAGCAGCCGCGGUAAUUCCAGCUCCAAUAGCGUAUAUUAAAGUUGUUGCAGUUAAAAAGCUCGUAGUUGAACCUUGGGCCUGUCCUGCCGGUCCGCCUCACCGCGAGUACUGGUCCGGAUGGGCCUUUCUUUCUGGGGAAUCCCAUGGCCUUCACUGGCUGUGGCGGGGAACCAGGACUUUUACUGUGAAAAAAUUAGAGUGUUCAAAGCAGGCCUUUGCUCGGAUACAUUAGCAUGGAAUAAUAGAAUAGGACGUGCGGUUCUAUUUUGUUGGUUUCUAGGACCGCCGUAAUGAUUAAUAGGGAUAGUCGGGGGCGUCAGUAUUCAGCUGUCAGAGGUGAAAUUCUUGGAUUUGCUGAAGACUAACUACUGCGAAAGCAUUCGCCAAGGAUGUUUUCAUUAAUCAGGGAACGAAAGUUAGGGGAUCGAAGACGAUUUAAGGCACACGGGGGCGCUCCCCCGUGGGUAUUUGGUCGUUCAAAGUAAGGCGCAAAAGACCUUGCUAGUCCCGGUGACCGCCGGGGCGACACUGACAAAUUGCGGGGACGUCCUAAAGCCUGAACUACCAAGCCGGCCCUGAAAGGGGUCGGUGGCCGGGGUAAUGACCCAGGGUAAGGUAACAACGUUCAGGAUGUGACAAUGGAUAAUCCGCAGCCAAGCGCUACCGCCCCUCCCGGGCCACGCGUGCAGUUCACAGACUAGAUGUUGGUGGGGGUUCCGGCCCUUAAGAUAUAGUCGAAGCCCAGCGUGAAAGCCUGGGACGCGUCUGCAGAUACCGUCGUAGUCUUAACCAUAAACUAUGCCGACUAGGGAUCGGGCGGGGUUUCUAUGAUGACCCGCUCGGCACCUUACGAG